GGAAGAACCUUGAAAACAUGAGAACAAUAGUUCUUGAUGUGUGGUCUCCGCUAAGAUUGAAGGGAGCAAAAAACUCAACAUAAAAGAUGAAAAUUUCUUUCUUAGAGCUCUUUUUCUAAUUCAAAGGCAUUUGCCUCUUUAAAAAAUUAGUGGUGGAGUUAUAACUUUAAAAAAGGCCAAAUACGAAUUUAUAACCCCCAUUGUCUUAGUGGUACAAUUUUUAACAUUACGAGCAGGUGAUAAUUUUUAGUUAACUUUUAACCCAUUGCUUCAAAGGUUACUGGGACUCAGUUAAAAUAUUACCAAACAAAUGCCCUAAUUACCUUAAAAUGCAAAUUGCUAGCCUUGGGGUAGGGAUUGCGGGGUGGGAAGCUGGAUGCAUUGAAAGCAGUGGGCUUCUGUUUCAGGACCCUGGUUUUUCCAAACAUCAUUUCUGUUCUGGAGUCCUGGAGCCUGGGGGCCCUGGCUGUUUAUGGAGCUGGCUCACUCCCUGAGUAGUGACCCCCGACAACUUCACCAGCCAGCACAACCCUAUCUCCUCGCUGCAUCCGCAGUGCCAGGAGAUGUUCUAGGUCCCGCCCUGCCCCUCGGUGUGGGACCUGGGGGAUCAGCAGCAUUCUCUCAAGUGGAACAGAGUGUCUCUGGAACAAGGUCCCGCCUUCUGAGUAUGUUGCUUAUGAGUCUUGGUUCUUCACAUGUAAGUGGGAUCUUUUCAUUUUUAUAAAAUUUUCUCCUAAAAUUUAUUAAACUAAAUGUUUCCGGUAAGGAUACAAAUGAGGACGACUCUAGAUUUUUUUUUUUCCUGGAGUAAAUAGUAAUAAGGAAGAGGCCAUUUUUUUUUUUUUUUAAUUUUCCCACUGUACAGCAAGGGGAUCAAGUUAUCCUUACAUGUAUACAUUACAAUUACAUUUUUUUCCCCACCCUUUGUUCUGUUGCAACAUGCGUAUCUAGACAAAGUUCUCAAUGCUAUUCUGCAGGAUCUCCUUGUAAAUCUAUUCUAAGUUGUGUCUGAUAAGCCCAAGCUCCCGAUCCCUCCCACUCCCUCCCCCUCCCAUCAGGCAGCCACAAGUCUCUUCUCCAAGUCCAUGAUUUUCUUUUCUGAGGAGAUGUUCAUUUGUGCUGGAUAUUAGAUUCCAGUUAUAAGUGAUAUCAUAUGGUAUUUGUCUUUGUCUUUCUGGCUCAUUUCACUCAGUAUGAGAUUCUCUAGUUCCAUCACUGUUGGUGGGAAUGUAAACUGGUACAGCCACUAUGGAGAACAGUUUGGAGAUACCUUAGAAAUCUAUACAUAGAACUUCCGUAUGACCCCGCAAUCCCACUCUUGGGCAUCUAUCCGGACAAAAUUCUACUUAAAAGAGACACAUGCACCCGCAUGUUCAUUGCAGCACUAUUCACAAUAGCCAGGACAUGGAAACAACCCAAAUGUCCAUCAACAGAUGAUUGGAUUCGGAAGAUGUGGUAUAUAUACACAAUGGAAUACUACUCCGCCAUAAAAAAGAAUGAC
rnacentral:lncRNA from 1 species